GGAUGCAAGGACAAUCUGGCUGCAGUAUCUGUCACCUCAUGGAUUGCCAGGGUUGAUUAGGUGGAUCUGGCCAGCCAGGGGGGUGUCCCCUUCCCUCCCUCUCUGCUCC
rnacentral:sRNA from 1 species